UUGUAUUGUCCAUUGGGGAGAAUUAAAUCCCAUGAGUUCAUGCCUAAUAGCUUUCUUUUCGUAAUGUGAAUUGAUAUUGAUUACAUGGAUGAUUUUAAAAACAUCACACUCGAUAGCUUCAUCAGAAUGACUACUUAUAAUGGUUUAGAAAUUCUAUGUUGAGUUAAAUUGUAAAAUAACUGUUUUUGUGGCACUCUAAAAUUUCAGUUGAGUAUUAGUAAUUUAAAAUUUCUUAAAUUGGAAAAGAGUGGGCCAUACGAGUAGUUCUGGGAAGUAUGGGGACAGUGGCAAGUAUACAUCCGUGGGAUUACACUGUGUGUGUUGUUGUUGUUGUUGUUGCUUCCUUUUCAGCAGUUGUAUCAUUCCGAGUCCCUUUAGGUAAAGUAGUUGCAAUGGCUGGAUUUAGGUGGCGAUGAAUAUCGAACAAAGCCCAAAUCUUUUCUCAUCCCUUUACCCUUUCAACUCGACUUCCGAACUCCAUGUACUUGUAUUUGUCAAGAACCAAGGGAUAUAUAGUGAUUCAUGUCAAACUAUGUGACUAUCCCAUCUUAACAGCUUAGAUAGUUAAAGAUGUGGCAUUUCUAUUUACCACAUCUGUUUCAUGGACGUCAUAGUUUAGGAUAUUAUUUUGACUUAUUAUGUUAGUGAUGGUAAUCCAAAACUAGUAAACUAGUGGUUGAAAAGUUGUUCCGAUGACGAAAACGUCUCAAAGUUUGAAUUGUUUUAAAAGCUGGCUUCUUAAAUAUUGUACAAGUUGCAUAUAAAUAUAUUCAUUCUUUAAACCUGAAGCAGAAGUACCAACUGUUGUGAAUUAUCAUACUCCUGAUAUGGCCACUACUCAUACCAAAACUGAUGAUGCUAAGGCUCUAGCUACUGUUCCUCCACCAAGACACCUUUCAUUUCUUAAGUUUUUUGCGACAUAAGAAAGCUAGCUGCAAAUGGAAAUGUUGGACACAUAAGGAGGCAAUAUAUUCCACGGAUCCAUGGGAUUAUACUAUACAAUGUUGUUGCAAUACGAGUUUCCUCAUAUGGACCAUCCUGCCAUAUUCUUUUUGCCAUGUGUGCCCUUACGUAUGUAACAUCUACUUAUAUGUUUGGAUUUAACCUUGCUGGAAUUUUUUCAGAUAAAGCUCGGCCCUUCAUCAUUGCAGAAGAGUAUUUUCAUUCUAUAUAUGCUUCUAGGAACUUCGAGGCUAGUUGUUUUAACUCUGUGAAUUCUCCAAAAGGAACCCCCUGCUCCCCACAUGCUUCUUUAGAAAGAGCACUGGUUCAGACGUCACCGCUUUACCCAUCAAAUUUUGCCUCGAAAUCUGCUGGGUAAAGGAGCUGCUCGUGUAAUGAUCCAAUGUUUACUCAUCUUUGAUACCACCUUAACAUUGUCUUCAUGAUCUAAUUCUAUUUUAAUCGUCAGAUUUCUUGGUGUUAACAAGUUAACAGGCACCCUGCCAGCUCAGAAGAGAGUCUCUCUAGACUAUGUGAUUAACUCUUGUUUUUAUAUGAUUUCACUGUCAAAUAUCAGUUAAGUGCAGUAACUAUGAUCUAGUCUCUUCUGUUAAAAGGCAAAGCCCUUUCUUAUACCAGGUGAGCAACAAGAUUCAAUCACUUCAUUCAGUUUGUUAAAACCCGUUAAGUGCAGUAACUAUGAUAUAGUCUCUGCUGUUAAAAGGCAAAGCCCUUUCUUCUACCAGGUGUGCAACAGGAUUUGAACACUUCAUUCAGUUUGUUAAAACUCACAAACUUUAAUUUUUCUUAUAAAUUUAAAUAUAGAGUUUUAGUGCUUGACAAUCAAUGGUAUGGGACAAACUUUAUAAAUAUUAUGAUAUAGGAAGCAAAUAAAUAAGAAAAAAUAGAACCGGGAGGUAGAAGGGUCAUUUCUCUUGCCUGCCUGCCUGUUCAUCCUUGUCAUAUGUGGAGCAGGUAGAGAAUCCAAGUAGCAAACUUCAAAUAUCUUUUGCAAGUUAUAGUUGACAGUGAUGUAGCUGUUUGUUAUUUUAUCUUUUGCAUUAUCAAGAGUGAUGUAUAAGUUAGCAUGUUUCUUAUGAUUUUUUGUUGACACCAGAUUGUUCAGACAUACCAGUAUAGUACACAACUACCCAUCACCAGAUUGUUCAGACAUACCAUUAUAGUACACAACUUUUGUUUUUAUAUGAUUUUUUAUUCUUAUGAGAUGUCAUUUACGAACAAACAAGAAGGACAUUUGCUACUCUAUUCUACUGCUAUAGUUCUAAUAUAAAACUGUGUACUGUUUCUUAUCUUGUCGUGCAUGUGAGCUUUUCAUAGUUCACAGAUUCCAGCUUUUCAAUUAAAUCUGGAGGACCUUCCAUAAGAUCUAGUGAUCAGGCAUCAAAUGAGUAGGAUAGUGAGGCUCUAGGUCCAGCAAUAUAUUUAAUGACUAGUACAAGGAGGUGGGCUAUUAGUAAUACUGGUAUGCAUUCUGCCAUAUUUUAUGUAUGGCAGAUACAAGUACGGUGAAGGUAAGGUGAAAGAACUUUAUUUUCGAAAGUACAGUACAUAAUCUGAGAGUAUGAAAGAGUUCUGAAUCUUGUGAUAUUAAACUAUAGAUACGUAUAAUUAAUCAAGAUUUGAUAUUCCGUUGCACAGUAUGUAGUAUGUUGUAGUUCUAACCAUAUUAGUAGUUGAUUUUAGAAGUGCCUUAUCUGCUAAUUUUGUUGAUGACAUUCAAGAGACACAAAGAUGUGCUAUUGAGGGCUAGGUGUAUUCUUUGUGAGUAUGCUGGAUGGAUUGAAAUGCCUUUGCCAGAUUUAUAAUGCCUCUCUUUUUGGAUCUGAAUAGCUCCUCAAUUGCGUGUUGCGUUUUGAAUGUUUGAAAUAUAUUUGAGCUUACUUGGAUAUUGUUAUCGGCUCUCCCAUCUAUAUGCUAGCUCGAAUGCAGCAAUACAGAUGGUGGUGAUUCAUUUAAUUGAUCCCAUUUUAUUUGAGAUUGAGGGUGGUGUAGCAGCAGUGGCGUGUCUUUUUGUUUUGCUAAACCAGAUUUGAACCCUUGAUGUAGUGGUUGCAUUUUUCUUAUUUUAUAGCAACGAAGAAACAAGAGCAGGUACUUAUGGUAGGAUUCUUUGUGUUCUUAAUAUUCCUUUACCUCCUAGCAUUACCAGUAACAACAACCACUCUUCAACUGUUUCUGCUUAUGGGAGUACUACUCGUAGUUUCUUUGUCUUCCAAGAUGAUAUUUCCUUAUUGCAGAUUGUUAUUUCUUUAUAGUUAUCACUUUACAGACACCAAAACUGCAUACGACUGAAAGUACUUGUAUAUUCUAUUAGCAUGUUUCGUCUAAAAUGAACAAGAAACAUUGUUCAUUGAUGGUUGUUAUCUGGAAUUACAGUACUCAACGUAUUUUAUUUAUUUUUGAACUUGCAGGUCAGAGUUGAACAAUCACGAAUCAAGAAAGGUGUUAAAAAAAUCACCAGAAAGUUAAGAGCUUUGUUUCAGCUAGAUCACUAGCAGCAUUACGAAACAAACAAAUACUAGAAUAGAAGAAGAAGAAGAAGAAUACAAGCUACUUUAACAUUUUGCUUUUGGAUUUAGAUUACUAGUUUGUUGGAUAUUUUAAUUUGACUUGUUAUUAAUGAAAGAUUUUGUUACGAUGUGUAUAUAUAAUUGUGUAUUAAUAUAA